rnacentral:tRNA from 1 species
AUCGCAGUAGUUUAUUAAAACCAUGAAUUGCAAGUUCAAACUUGUU